UAGGGUGCAAGCGUUGUCCGGAAUUAUUGGGCGUAAAGAGCUCGUAGGUGGUGCAUCACGUCGGAUGUGAAAAUCUGGGGCUUAACCCCAGACCUGCAUUCGAUACGGGCGAGCUAGAGUGUGGUAGGGGAGACUGGAAUUCCUGGUGUAGCGGUGGAAUGCGCAGAUAUCAGGAGGAACACCAAUGGCGAAGGCGGCUCUCUGGGCCAUUACUGACACUGAGGAGCGAAAGCGUGGGGAGCGAACAGGAUUAGAUACCCUGGUAGUCCACGCCGUAAACGAUGGGCACUAGUUGUGGGAACCUUCCACGGUUUCUGCGACGCAGCUAACGCAUUAAGUGCCCCGCCUGGGGAGUACGAUCGCAAGAUUAAAACUCAAAGGAAUUGACGGGGCCCCGCACAAGCAGCGGAGCAUGCGGCUCAAU
rnacentral:rRNA from 1 species